AGCAGCCGCGGUAAUUCCAGCUCCAAUAGCGUAUAUUAAAGUUGUUGCAGUUAAAAAGCUCGUAGUUGAAUUUCGGGGUUAGUAGGCUGGUCGUGCCACAGGUAUGCACUGGUCUUACUGACUUCUCCUUUCUGAAGAACUGUAAUGCCAUUAAUUUGGUGUUGCAGGGAAACAGGACUGUUACUUUGAAAAAAUUAGAGUGUUUAAAGCAGGCUAACGCUUGGAUACAUUAGCAUGGAAUAAUGAAAUAGGACGUUCGAUCCUAUUUUGUUGGUUUCUAGGAUUGACGUAAUGAUUAAUAGGGAUAGUUGGGGGCAUUAGUAUUCAAUUGUCAGAGGUGAAAUUCUUGGAUUUAUUGAAGACUAACUACUGCGAAAGCAUUUGCCAAGGAUGUUUUCAUUAAUCAAGAACGAAAGUUAGGGGAACGAAGACGAUCAGAUACCGUCGUAGUCUUAACCAUAAACUAUGCCGACUAGGGAUCGGAUGAUGUUAAUUUUUUAAUGACUCA
rnacentral:rRNA from 1 species